AGCGGCCUGCCCUUUGGAGAGGCGGAGCUUCUUGCGGGAGGUAUCGCCGUCAUCGUCGUCACUGUUGCCGGCGCCGGCACGGCCGGAGGAAGCUGGAUCCGCGUCAGGAUCGGAAGAUCCGAGUGGCUCGUCCCUCUCGCUUCUCUUAUUCCCGCUGACGCUGGAAAUGGUACUGUUGGGCGACGAAACGCCAGCUUCCUCCUCGUAGUCUUCGGCGGCGGGGGGGGGGGGGCGGGGGGCGGCGAUUCGGCGGCGGUGGGUGGGAGCCGGUUGACGUCGAUACCCCGGAGGAAAGAUCUUGUGGGUUCGGAAAUCGGACCUGCAAAGACACUUAAUAUAAGGCUCUGGAUCUAGAAGGUAAAAAUUAAAUUAAUCUAGAUGGAAUAAAAUUAAUUACCAGAGGAAGGAUUGAGG
rnacentral:lncRNA from 1 species